UGAAAUUUAUUCUGUGAUCAAUAUAAACAUUUUAUGUCAUGCUCUUAUUUUGACCAUAUUUCUCCUGAGUAGUUAGCCUGUUACGUUUAGGCUCUCAAUCUCUGUUUAGCCGCAGCCACUGCGUGGCGAGAUCUUUGUCUCUUAUCCGCGUAUGAGCACUGCCAUUUGCACAGCUGAGAUCUUUGUCUCGUGUAUGUGUGCUGGCACUUAGGCAUGAUAGAUGCUCCUGAGGCUUUCACGAAUUAAGGCAUGUUCUGCUCAAGGAGAUUAUCAACGGCUAAGAGAAUACUAAAGUAGUCAGCAUUGCGACAAAAACAGAGCGCGAUUGCACUCAAGAGUUUGCUGCUCUCUGGCGAGUAGUUGGCAAAGUGUAGCUUUGUAGGGUAAUUCCCAUCGAGAGGCGUCCGUAAAUAAGUAGUCGGUGUGAAACAAGCCGGAAAAAAGUGACUUAGCUUGAUUCGUGGUCGAUUCUCGAUGAAACCAUGUUGAUUGUUGAUGAAGCUAACUAGUCGGAGUCGUUUCCGACUAGUUGUUGAUCACGCGGAAACCGCCCUCAACUAGUUUCUAGUCGAGACAAGGAGUCGACGUAGCCAUCAGCAACCUGAUGCGGCAGGACAUUGGGGUAGCAGUGCUCGCCCGCCGAGUAGUCGAGACGAGUAGUCGAAGUAGACCAUCCUUGACUAGUUUUAUAGUCGAGACGAGUAGUUGAGGUUGUCAUCAAUGAAGCCGUGACAGUUGUUGGUGAAGCCAACUAGUCAAAGUUGGUUCCGACUAGUCAUCGAUGGUGCGAGGCUUGUCCUGACUAGUUUCUAGUCGAGACGAGUAGUCGUUGAAGUUUCUGGUGUGGCAACAAGCAUCAUGGCGAGGUCAACAUCGUAGUUCAUGUUGGCACGUAGCCUUCUUGGUGCACGUGCCAAGAGAUUGGAGCCUUCUGGUAUGAUUCAACCUGUUAAUUGGGUUGGAACCCAAACUGUAACACCACCAACCCAUUCUCACAAAUAUAUAAAUUUAACUCACCCCAAAUCAAACUUCCACCUUCACACACCAUACCACCCCAAACUUUUCAGUGCAUAAGUUAUACAAACUGCUUGCCAAAUAUGGUUACAACCCAAUAAGAACCCAUUAGAUAGCUACUAGUAGUCAAACAAGUUGCAAAGACCUAUGUUACAUAUAUAUAUAUAUAUAGGUUGUUCACGCUUGUGCUUGGUUGCUCCCUGGCUGGAGAGACGAGACGACGACCCAACUGCCGACCAGACCCUGGUUGUUGCCAUCGUCCAACCCUGAUGCUUAUCUCCUCACAGGAGCUCGGCGAGUUGCGUUAUCUUUUGUUGGCCACCAGUUUCUGGUUCUUCUGGCCUUUGCUUGUCCAUGUCAUUCUCACUUUGCUCCUGCACCUGCCAAAUGCCAAUGCACAUGUCUCAUACCUGCUUCAAGUGAUCCACAAGUCGCUGGACAUGAAAACAUGGGUGCAAAUAGUCUUUCAAAAAAAAACAUGGGUGCAAAUAAUCUUUCAAAAAAAAACAUGGGUGCAAAGAAAGCCACAGGUAGACCGUCAUGUCUAUCUGUGCAGCUGCUUAUGUGGCUCGCAUGCACAAUCAUGAGCUUGCAGAUGUGCGGCUCCAUGAAAAUAUUAUCAACAUGCCCCUAGGACCAGAAUUAAUUGAAUAGAUAUACAUCGAUGCUGUCCAAGUAUGAGACAACGACACCAGGUAAUUUGAGAUAUAUAUACUGAUAGGCAAGAAUUUGAGAAAAAAGAAGCGAAAACAGCACAUCAACUAGAUUACAGGCUUACAGCUAGAUUUACAGCACAUCAAUUUGCUUUCUUAAACUGGAUUAGGCACGUGUUACAUGCUUACAGCUAGAUU
rnacentral:lncRNA from 1 species